rnacentral:rRNA from 1 species
GAUGAACGCUGGCGGCGUGCCUAAUACAUGCAAGUCGAGCGAACAGACGAGGAGCUUGCUCCUCUGACGUUAGCGGCGGACGGGUGAGUAACACGUGGAUAACCUACCUAUAAGACUGGGAUAACUUCGGGAAACCGGAGCUAAUACCGGAUAAUAUAUUGAACCGCAUGGUUCAAUAGUGAAAGACGGUUUUGCUGUCACUUAUAGAUGGAUCCGCGCCGCAUUAGCUAGUUGGUAAGGUAACGGCUUACCAAGGCAACGAUGCGUAGCCGACCUGAGAGGGGGAUCGGCCACACUGGAACUGGGACACGGUCCAGACCCCUACGGGAGGCAGAAGUAGGGAAUCUUCCGAAAUGGGCGAAAGCCUGAGGGAGCAACGCCGGGGGAGUGAUGAAGGUCUUCGGAUCGUAAAACUCUGUUAUUAGGGAAAAAAAAAUGUGUAAGUAACUAUGCACGUUUUGACGGUACCUAAACAGAAAACCACGGCUAACUACGU